UACCCAGCCACUCUUCUAGAGUUUUUCCAAACCAAAAAAAACCCACCGUCACCGAUGUGAAGACCGUCAUCGAUGAAACCGUUGCUAAUGUGAAGACUAUUGCCGAUGAGACCGUCGCUAAUGUGAAGACCGUCGUCGAUUUGAAGAAACCAACCGUCGUCGAUUUGAAGAAAUCAACUGUCGCCCAUUUAAAAACUGUCGCCGAUUUGAAGACCGUCGCCGUUUUGAAGACCCUUCACCUUCUGAGCUUCGACCGUUCGCAUUUCGAGCUCCGACCCUUUGCCUUCCCCAAGCUUCGACCCUUCGCCUUUCUCAAGCUUCGACGACCUUUCGCCUUCCUUGGCACCGGCGAACCCAGCCCGACUCUUGGUACACUAUUCUCUGUGGGUCUUUCUCUAAUUUCUGUUUUGUUUAAGAAUUUUUGAUUUUUUUUUUCUGGGUUUCAAUGUUGCAAACGUUGACAAGUUUUACCAGCAGUGCGAUCUCGACACAAGUGAAGUGAUCUCAAAUGUUGUUGUGAACAAGAACUAGACACUGGACAUAUAUAAUCAUAAAGCUCUCUUUCUCUUUUGUGGUUGAAGAAAUUGUGAGGAACAAGGUGAAGAACACAAGUUAACUUUGGAUUUUUUUAGAAAGUUGUAAACUUAGCUUGAACAAAGUAAGUAAAUUCUAGUCAAAAACUUAUAAAA